UACUGUCGUAAUACAUUACACGCUGAGCAACAUGAUCCGUGAGUGUCAGCUUUACUCGGCUCAAGCCAGAGGAUUUCUCCACUGGGCCCCAUUUGCGCAGUGCAGCCAGUGAAGUGAAUUAGUUGCAAUGGGGUCAAACUAAGCAGAUUACGACCAGCAUGGUGAACUCAUCGGCCUUGUUCUAAACUCAGUGAACCCUCUGAGGGAACAAAAGCCUCACAACAUCCAUUUUUGCUGGAUUGUAAAGAUACGGGCCAGGAAAAUGUAGGCACAACUUGUGAGAUCUUAACUUAAGUCGAAAAUGAAGGUCUGUUCACACCAAGAACGAUAACUAUACAAGUGUCUGUAAUAAUGUUUUGUUAAUUACAAGUGCACACUGCAGUUAUGCCAUCUGCCACUUUAAAUGCUCAAGCUCUUUA